UUUUGUGUUGAGUCCAAGAGGUUGGGCACAGGAGCAGCCUGCGAUCGCGCCUUGGGGUGUAUCCGGACCAGCAAAAACUUACCUUUUGGAUAACGUACUUUUGGAUGCAGUUGCGCCCAGUCCAUCAAAUGGCAGAUGUCCAGAGAUCCUUCUAAUCUCUUAGAUAUCAGCCAUCGGCGUAGUCAAAAUAAUGCCAGGAAAAUAAUACAUUUCGAUUUCGGUCCAGUCACAUGCCACCACUUCCAUCAGCACCACUUCCAACAAAUCCACUGCACAACACAACAUACAAAACACACACAAAAAACCAUCCUAGGAUGAUCGUUAGGCCAGAACCCAGACGGAGCUAGCUAGCACACUGGCCCACACACCUUUUUGGCCCUCAUCA